GAUGAACGCUAGCUACAGGCUUAACACAUGCAAGUCGAGGGGCAGCACUAGGUAGCAAUACUGAGGUGGCGACCGGCGCACGGGUGCGUAACGCGUAUCCAACCUUCCCGUUACUCUUGGAUAGCCUUUCCGAAAAGGGAGAUUAAUACAAGAUGGUAUUCAAAUUCCGCAUGUUAUUUGAAUUAAAGAUUUAUCGGUAACGGAUGGGGAUGCGUGACAUUAGAUAGUAGGCGGGGUAACGGCCCACCUAGUCUACGAUGUCUAGGGGGUUCUGAGAGGAAGGUCCCCCCANACUGGAACUGAGACACGGUCCAGACUCCUACGGGAGGCAGCAGUGAGGAAUAUUGGUCCAAUGGUCGGAAGACUGAACCAGCCAAGUAGCGUGAAGG
rnacentral:rRNA from 1 species